CUUCGUGUUAUGGGCCUUCGAAGCUAUCAUAUAACAUAUUUACUUCAAAUCAGCCAUUUUCAUUUCAAAUUUCAUUCGUUUCGUUACAUUGCAUUACAUUAAAUUGAACAAUUUUUAGAUACUCCACUAUCUAAACCAAUGUUCUGAAAACCGGUUCGAAUAAUAAGAAAAAUCGCAGGAUUUGAAAAUCGGCGUUGAACCGAUGAAUCGGCCGGUUACCGGUGGGUCGAACCGAACCGGGACUCGGCCGGUUUUUUAGCCUUGCAGCAAAACGGCUGCGUUUUGCGUUUUGGAACCCUAAUUCCCUUUUCAGUUUUCCCCUUCGCACUUUCCUUUCGUCUAGCAGCACUCCAGCGUCCUGAAGCAAGGGUCAGAGAGAGUGAGACUGUGAGAGACAGAGAGAACGCCUUCAGCACCAUCGCGCCUUCACCUCCGUCGCGCCUUCAGCACCGUCACGCCGUCAGCACCAUCGCGCUGUCAGCUCCGUGGCGCCGUUGGGUCCGUCGCGCAGUCAGCACCGUCGCGCCCUCUGCUCCAUCGCGCACUCAGCUCCGUCGCGCCCUCAGCCACUUCGACCAGUCACCUCCGUCGAGCUCUGCCUCUGAGAGAAAGCAAUAGAGUUCGGUUGAAGCGUUGAAGCGUUGAAGCGGUGAAGUCCUUCGAGCUCUGAGAGAAAGCAAUAGAUUUCCUCAUCUCCAGGUAAUUUUUAAUUUAGUUAUGAACAUGAUUUUGUGAUGAAAUCUGAUACUGAUUCUGAUGAACUGAACUCUGAGUCUCUGAAACUGUUAUGAAUACAUUUUUGUAGUUUUUGCAUGUUUUAGGCAGGCUUAAUGUUUAUUCGAUCUGUUCUCUGCUCUUAUAUCCUAUCCCCUUUGGGCUGAGCAGAAUGAGAAGAGUUAGCAAUUAGCUUGACUUUACUGCUUUGUAGAGCCUUGUAGCUGAUGCUAUGGCAUACUCAGCCAUACUUCCUGACUCUUAAUUUCAUUAUUGGUGAUGGCAAUAACAUGUAUGAUUUGAUUGAUUUCACUUAUGUUGGAAAUGUGGCUCAUUCCCAUUUAUGUGCUGACCGAGCUCUAGCUUCAGAGGGGGAAGUUUCAAAAAAAGCUGCAGGAGAGGUACCUUUGAAAGAUUCUCUCAUUACAUUUUUUGGUAUAUAAAUAUUUGUUUAAUUAUGUAAAUGAAGAUUAAACAUGGACAUCUUAGAAGGCGGUGAUGAUGAUCCUGCUCUAUUGUAGAUGGGUCGUUAGUUAUUCACAGGUGUACAUUCUUUAGAAAGAUAUACAACAAAAAAUCUUAUUCCACUUAGUAGGGUUGAUGAUUGAUGACAAACUUGGAUCAUUUUGAUGCUGCUAUGUUAUGUUUGAUUGGUUGUUUUGUUUUUUGACUUUUGAAUUUGUAUUUGAAUGAGAUUAUAACAUUCUGGUUUAUGUAGUA